UUGCCUUCUCUCUCACCCUACUCUAACAAAGUUUUGAUAUCUGGAGCUCAUAGGUGGGAGACAGCUAAUACAUACUUACAAGACAUUUAUUGCAUAGUCAAACCAUGGAUCCAGAGAAACAAGUCAAUAAGUCAAAUCAAGAUGUGCAUGUGUGGCGAAUGAAUGGUGUAUGGUGAUGAUGGUGAUAAUGGUGAAAAUAAUGGUGAAAGUCUAAUUCUACUUUUGCUCUUUUGAGGGGAUACAUACCUUUCUUGCACUUUGAAGCUUUUUGAGGGGAAUGAGAUGCUCUAUAUUUUCUUUUUCUUUUCUCUCAGGUGGGUAUCUUGUACCCCUAAUUCUACUAUCGGACACUUGUCCAUUUUUACCUCUCGUCUCACUUUUUAUUUUCUUUCGAGGUUCCAGACACUUGCCACUUUUUAUUUCCUCGUAUUCACUUUUUUCAAAGCACUCACCCUCCUGGAAUAAUGUAGCAAGUGGUAGUAACCAAAAUAUCUUGAGCAUUUAUUUCAUAGGGAAUAACAGGGAUAGGAUAAUGUUUUUGGCUAUUCUCUCCUGGAUAGGAGUAGAAUAAUUUUAGGUGAAUCUAGAGAUGGAAA
rnacentral:lncRNA from 1 species